UGCAAGUCGAGCGCACCCUUCGGGGCGAGCGGCGGACGGGUUAGUAACGCGUGGGAACAUACCCUUUGGUACGGAAUAGCCUCUGGAAACGGAGAGUAAUACCGUAUGUGCCCUUCGGGGGAAAGAUUUAUCGCCAAAGGAUUGGCCCGCAUAAGAUUAGAUAGUUGGUGGGGUAAUGGCCUACCAAGUCUACGAUCUAUAGCUGGUUUUAGAGGAUGAUCAGCAACACUGGGACUGAGACACGGCCCAGACUCCUACGGGAGGCAGCAGUGGGGAAUCUUAGACAAUGGGCGCAAGCCUGAUCUAGCCAUGCCGCGUGUGUGAUGAAGGCCUUAGGGUCGUAAAGCACUUUCGCCAGGGAUGAUAAUGACAGUACCUGGUAAAGAAACCCCGGCUAACUCCGUGCCAGCAGCCGCGGUAAUACGGAGGGGGUUAGCGUUGUUCGGAAUUACUGGGCGUAAAGCGUACGUAGGCGGAUCAGAAAGUAAGGGGUGAAAUCCCAGGGCUCAACCCUGGAACUGCCUCUUAAACUCCUGGUCUUGAGUUCGAGAGAGGUGAGUGGAAUUCCGAGUGUAGAGGUGAAAUUCGUAGAUAUUCGGAGGAACACCAGUGGCGAAGGCGGCUCACUGGCUCGAUACUGACGCUGAGGUACGAAAGUGUGGGGAGCAAACAGGAUUAGAUACCCUGGUAGUCCACACCGUAAACGAUGAAUGCCAGUCGUCGGGCAGUAUACUGUUCGGUGACACACCUAACGGAUUAAGCAUUCCGCCUGGGGAGUACGGUCGCAAGAUUAAAGCUCAAAGGAAUUGACGGGGG
rnacentral:rRNA from 1 species